GUCCAUAUUGGGUGCUGAACAAGGUGACUAGUGUCCAUUUUGUUAUGUGCAUUUUGCUUUGACUGGGAUGGAAAAUGCUAAUUCAAUGCCCCAUGCAGCCCAUUGGGCAGCAUCUUGCAAAAUUGAGAAUCUUUUGCCUAUGGUUUCAUGAAACAGAAAAGGGUAAUUUCAUUUUGUAAGGUGGCUUGAGCACAGCAAGCAGGGCCAUCAAAAGCUUGCUCCAUUCUUCUGGAAACUGCAGAGAAAGGAAACCCAGAAACCUGGUGUGCCAGCAAAAAGGACUCAAGAGAACUUAUUUCUUUUGACCUAUUUGCAACUUUUAACAAGUGAGUAAAGUGUACUCCUGGGAACAACAUUUGGAGCAUAUUGCUUUCCCUCUGUGAUUUCUUCAGGAUUUAGAAACUU
rnacentral:lncRNA from 10 species